AUUUGUCUGGUUAAUUCCGAUAACGAACGAGACCUUAACCUGCUAACUAGUUCUCAAUACUCUGUAUUCUGCAACUUCUUAGAGGGACUAUGUAAAUCAAUUACAUGGAAGUUUGAGGCAAUAACAGGUCAGUGAUGCCCUUAUAUGUCCUGGGCUGCACGCGUGCUACACUGAUGCAUACAACAAGUGCCUAGCCAGACAUGGUAUGGCAAUCUCGAAUAUGCAUCGUGAUGGGGAUAGAUCUUUGCAAUUAUAGACCUUGAACGAGGAAUUCCUAGUAAGUGCAAGUCAUCAUCUUGCAUUGAUUAUGUCCCUGCCCUUUGUACACACCGCCCGUCGCUCCUACCGAUACCGGGUGAUCCGGUGAACCUUUUGGACUCCGUACGGGGGAAGAUAAGUAAACCAUAUCACCUAGAGGAAGGAGAAGUCGUAACAAGGUUUCCGUAGGUGAACCUGCRGAAGGAUCA
rnacentral:rRNA from 1 species